GUGCCAGCAGCCGCGGUAACACGUAGGGGGCGAGCGUUGUCCGGAUUUAUUGGGCGUAAAGAGCUCGUAGGCGGCUCGGUAAGUCGGGUGUGAAAUUUCAGGGCUCAACCCUGAAAAGCCACCCGAUACUGCUGUGGCUAGAGUCCGGUAGGGGAGUGGGGAAUUCCUGGUGUAGCGGUGAAAUGCGCAGAUAUCAGGAGGAACACCAGCGGCGAAGGCGCCACUCUGGGCCGGUACUGACGCUGAGGAGCGAAAGCGUGGGGAGCGAACAGGAUUAGAUACCCUGGUAGUCCACGCCGUAAACGUUGGGCACUAGGUGUGGGAGGCAGUCAACGCCUUCCGUGCCGUAGCUAACGCAUUAAGUGCCCCGCCUGGGGAGUACGGCCGCAAGGCUAAA
rnacentral:rRNA from 1 species